GCUCUAGUGGCGCAAUGGAUAGCGCGUGUGACUUCUAAUCACAAGGUUGUGGGUUCGAGUCCCAUCUAGAGUU
rnacentral:tRNA from 1 species